GCUUUACCGCCACCACCACUUCAAUGGCGAUCGGCCAACUAACUCCGUUCUGCCUGUGCCGGUGCUGCAUCAUUCCGUUGUUGCAUUUCCACUUGUACACGUGUGGCAUGCGGCAUUUCACCGGUAGCUCGAGCUAAAAAUAAUUUUGUUGCAUGCAUUUGUUCGUGCGUUGCACUUUCGGCGUGUUAGCGGUGCGCAAAGUGAUUGACAGAUAGGCGUGUUGACUCUGAAAAUUUAACGGUUGCAAUUUAAAUGUUUAAGUGUAUUAAUUGAAAUCAAGUGUAAUUGACUGUUAAAGUAUGUUUUCGGUGAUCAAAAAAGUUAAAUGUUUAUAAAUAAAGAUUAAUCAAUAAACUUUAUAAUAAAUUAAGCGCUUUUGCUUCAUUUGUGUAAUCUGCAAACGAAGCUUAAAGUGGACUGAUUAAAAAUAAAAAGCACGUGAAUCGAUCAAUGAAAAUCACUGCUGAUCUUGCGCUAUCACUAUACUACAAUUUCUAACUUUGAUUCUAGUGAAUAAAUAGUGAAUUCAGUUUCGAUUUACUUGACUGCUUUUGAAGUGAAUCGAAAACACCAGAAGUGCAUAAAAUUAUAGGCAAUUCCAAAUAUUGUCGUUCAGUGAGCGUGUCAAUUUGUAUGCCCAGCAAAGUCCGCUCUGGUAACACCUUCUUGAUUUAAAAUAAAACGCAGCAAAAUGAGAGAUCGCUGCGCUCACCAGGAAUGCAGACAGCAAACAAAUUCGAUGGUAAAGUCUCUUCGGCAAAUCUUGAGUGAUAACUACAAAGAAAAAAGUAAAUAUAGCACCAUGAAGCAAACAGUUAAACCGUGGCGUAACGAUCAGUGAUCGCAGAGCAAACAGGACACUUUAAAUAAAAAAAAUAAAUUGUAGUUUGAAGCUGGUUAAAAGUUUGGUUAUCUGAUUUCAAUAUAAUAUGGUAUAACCGUAUGAACACUAAUAUCGGUUAGUUGUUUAAAUAGGUUGGCGACCACAAUGCGUCUUUAUAUGUUAAUUAGAAAAAUUAAUAUACAAGAUACUGGCGUGUAUUCGCUAAUUAGAAAAAUCUAGAAGGGUUGAAAUUUUGAAAAACUGGAGAUAUUAUUACAGUAAAGGUCAACAAGUAUUCGAGUAUUUUAUUAAAACGUGAUCAUGACUUUACAUAGACUGAUCGUGUUAGGUACUAAAAUGUUGGGAGAAGAUCACUUCUAUUAUUAUCUUUAAGUGAACUACGAUGGGUUUUUAUUAAAGUACAGUAACCAAUUUAAACUUUUUUUUAUAUGCUAUGCAUUCAAAAUUUCAGAAGAUCACUUGAUAAUAAGUAGUUUAAUGAAGUGUUAGAAUAUUUGGUUUUUUGAGUGAAAACUUAUUAUAUUCUUGAGUUUUUAAGCACUUUUUACAUUUCAGUAAGUAAUUAUUUAGGUAGAACCAUCGCUAAACUCUCACUCGUUAUAUCUGAUCUUGUUGCGAGAUCGGAAAAUACAGAUUUCAAGGCUGAUCUCUCUAAUUUUAUUUCGUAUUUUAAACUGUAACCACUUCACUUUACCAACAAAAUUUACAAAUUAAACUUGGGUAUGAAAAUAGUUAAAAUGAUGGUAAAUGAUCAGUUAUCUUGUUGCUCACCGUUCAAGUGCUUGUUUAUUGUUUCAGUGCAAAUUACCUACUUAGUAAUAUUGUCUGUAGGAUACUAUGUUAGUCACGUAUACAAUAUCACUUCAUUGACUAAAGUGUAUAAGUGUGAGCUUCGAGAACAUAAAAGGAUCGUGUUAAACUCACUUGCAUUAUGUGCGUGUGGAAAAUUAGUGCAAACAACCCUUUUGUUAUACUUAGCAGACCUCUCUUUAAGUUGGAACCAUAUUACGGUUAUGGAUAAGUAUGUUAUAUAAUAUUUGCUUAUGACGCAGACAUACCAAACAAAUUUACUCAGCAAAUAUUGAGCACUUGAGGUAGUUUGAAGUAGUUAUCGAUGUGUGAGCCGGACUCGAGCAAAUAUUUGUAAAGGUGAAGCGAAAAUAAACCAAAAUAUAUAUAUGUAUAUACAUAGGUAAUAAUUAAAUAGCGAUUUUCGGUUGCUUAUGAAUUUUGCAUUUCUUUGAGAUUUUUUCUUCUUCUUCGUUUUUUUUUUUUUUUUUUUUUUUGUACCGAAAUUCGAUAUUGUUACCAAUAUUGCUCUUUCGUUAUUGGUUUUUGCCACAAUUUUCGGUUUUGUUUUGAUUUUUGGGUAUUUUUAGGCAUGUGACGCAUGUCGCAUGGAAUUCGAGAUUAUGCAACAUUGGUCAGCAACAAAAGAUCGGUUGGAGAAAAGCAAUUAAAUGAACAAAAACCGUUAAAUUUUUACUCAAUGCUUAUAAAAUGAGCGUCAAAUGAGAAAACGAAUAAAAAAACAACAAAUUAUACACGCAGGAAAUAAAUGGAUUGUUUUUGUGCAGCCUUUUUUGUAGCAAAUCUGCAGAAAAAAGUGCGAAAACAAUUGAUGAGUGGCACUUGAAAGUGUUACUUUCAACAAGCCAUAAAAGCAACAACCAAUGAGUGGCGAUUAUGAAAAUCAUAGAAGAAACACAGACUAACGUGCAUACAUAUACACCCGCAAUAAAGCAAUUGAAAUGUCAUUGCACAAAGCCAAAGCCUACAAGGCACUAUAAUAACAACAAAAACAAACAACCGUAAACAAAAUUUAAAAAGAAACGACGAAGAAAAUAUUGAAGGAAAAAAAUUGAAGAAAAAUUUGAAAAAAAAAGUUGAAAAUAAAAACUGAGAAAAAACCACUAAACGCUUAACAAAGCCAAGGUGACCAGACUAUGACCGAACGUCAGGUAAUUUAAAGGCGAGCAACUGUCUAAGCGGCAACCAAAGCAGGCAUGCCGCUAACGAGCGCUCACACACGUGAUUGUUGUUGUUGCAUUCCGGAUAUGAGUGCGGGUUUUUUGGGUUCAAGCAACAGCUGGCCACAAAAUGUGUGGAAGUGAGGCGUUGCUUUGUUUGUUGUUGUUGUUGACUUUUUGUUAUUUGCUUAACAGCCAAUCGACGGUCAUAAAAAUAUGAUUAAGCGCGCAUGCGUGCCACAAGCUACCUACAACAACAACAACAGCCACAUAUGGUGCUUAUAUGAAAAUGCAGGUCAUACACAGCCUAUAAAUGAAUAUGUGUAAGAGGAAAUUUUUUAUGAAAAACAAAUAGUGACAAAAAAAUACAACAAACACUGCGUAGUCAGUUUUUCUUCGCUGGCGGCAAAAAUGACAUAAAAGUCAUAAUCAUUGAUCAAAUAGCGGUUGCUUGGUGAUCAAGCGAUCGCGCAACUUUGAUGACAAAGAAAGGAUGGCAGGCAAGACAGUUAGACUUUAAA